GUGCCAGCAGCCGCGGUAAUACGGAGGAUCCAAGCGUUAUCCGGAAUCAUUGGGUUUAAAGGGUCCGUAGGCGGGCAGUUAAGUCAGUGGUGAAAGUCUUCCGCUCAACGGGAGAACUGCCAUUGAUACUGAUUGUCUUGAGUUAUUAUGAAGUGGUUAGAAUGAGUAGUGUAGCGGUGAAAUGCAUAGAUAUUACUCAGAAUACCGAUUGCGAAGGCAGAUCACUAAUAAUAUACUGACGCUGAUGGACGAAAGCGUAGGUAGCGAACAGGAUUAGAUACCCUGGUAGUCUACGCCGUAAACGAUGGUUACUAGCUGUUCGGCCCGAUUAAGGGCUGAGUGGUUAAGCGAAAGUGAUAAGUAACCCACCUGGGGAGUACGUUCGCAAGAAUGAAAACUCAAAGGAAUUGACGG
rnacentral:rRNA from 1 species